rnacentral:miRNA from 10 species
UUGCCAGCUAUUAGGUUGGUACAAAAGUAUUUGGGGCCUUAGCCAUUACUUUCAAUGGCAAAUAUCGCAAUUACUUUUGCACCAACUCAUU